CGUCCCAGUCGCGCGCAGUUGGAACGACUGCUAAUACCGGAUGAGCCGAAUAGGUAAAAGAUUUAUCGCCUUGAGAGGGGCUCGCGUCUGAUUAGCUAGAUGGUGAGGUAAAGGCUUACCAUGGCGACGAUCAGUAGCUGGUCUGAGAGGAUGAGCAGCCACACUGGGACUGAGACACGGCCCAGACUCCUACGGGAGGCAGCAGUGGGGAAUUUUCCGCAAUGGGCGAAAGCCUGACGGAGCAAUACCGCGUGAGGGAGGAAGGCUCUUGGGUUGUAAACCUCAAAACUUAGGGAAGAAAAAAAUGACGGUACCUAAUGUAAGCAUCGGCUAACUCCGUGCCAGCAGCCGCGGUAAUACGGAGGAUGCAAGCGUUAUCCGGAAUCAUUGGGCGUAAAGAGUCCGUAGGUGGCACUUCAAGUCUGCUUUCAAAGACCGAAGCUCAACUUCGGAAAGGGAGUGGAAACUGAAGAGCUAGAGUAUACUAAGGGUAGAGGGAAUUCCUCUUGUAGCGGUGAAAUGCGUAGAGAUUAGGAAGAACAUCUCAGGCGAAGGCGUCUCUUUAGGGCAUCUACUGACACUGAAGGAGCAAAGCUAUCGGGAGAGGAAGGG
rnacentral:rRNA from 1 species